ensembl:lncRNA
GUCAAACAGGGAAAUGGUUCCAAUUGUUUUUCCCACAGGGGAUUUUAGAAACACGUGUAGGUUUACCCUGCUGUGCAAAUCUCUCAAGGACAAUGUGACUUAUCAAUAUAUUCGCCUGUAUUUACCCCCACCAAAAACGAACCGCAAAUUAGCUGCUAAUGUGGCUAUCAUAAAGAACUGUAAAUGCCAUAAUGAUCUGGACGAGACUGCCGAAUCGAGGGAAAGCUGCAGUUCAUCUUUGAGGACAUUCCCACCACGGAGUGACUGACCAGUUGAAAGGGAUACAUUUACUCUGACUCAAAAUGAUUUAAAUCAUGGAGGAAGGGAGAGGCAUAUUGUCGGGGACUGAUUCCUUCUGUCAUUUCCUCCAUAUGGUUUAUCAGUGCCAGAUAAAUCACUGUGACAGCCAAACAGAAGCCAGGAAGGCCCCCAGGAGAAUUUAGCAGUACGUCCAACCGGCCUCACAACCGCAGACCACGUGUAACCAUGCCAGCCCAGGGCCUCCACAUCCGGCUUCUUCACCUGCGCGAUUGUCUGACACCAGCCACCCGGACAGCUGAUGAAACUGAGUAGUAUUUCUGUAAAGCCCUUAUCUCAGCUCACUGGUCACCAUAGCAACACCCACCCAUAGCACGUGCUCCAGCAGGAUGGGACCUGUGGGGAAGCAACGUUAACGCCCGGUCAGC